rnacentral:rRNA from 1 species
AUUGAACGCUGGCGGCAGGCCUAACACAUGCAAGUAGGGAUAGCGGCAGACAGGUUAGUAAGGACUGGGGAUCUGCCUGAUGGAGGGGGAUAACUACUGGAAACGGUAGCUAAUACCGCUUACCAUACGAUGAACCAAUAUGGGAGUAGCUGGUCGGUGAGGUAACGGCUAACCUAGACGACGUUCCCUUGCUGGUCUGAGAGGAUGACUAGCCACACUGGGACUGAGAUACGGCCCAGACGCCUACGGGAGGCAGCAGUGGGGAAUAUUGCACAAUGGGCGCAAGCCUGAUGCAGCCAUGCCGCGUGUAUGAAGAAGGCCUUCGGGUUGUAAAGUACUUGCAGUCGGGAGGCGUUACCGACAGAAGAAGCACCGGCUAACUCCGUGCCAGCAGCCGCGGUAAUUC